AAUGAACGUUGGCGGCGUGGAUUAGGCAUGCAAGUCGCGCGAAAACCGGUCUUCGGACCGGGGACAGCGGCGAAAGGGACAGUAAUGUGUAGAUAUCUGCCCCGAGGACCGGGAUAGCUGCGGGAAACGUGCAGGUAAUACCGGAUAACAUCUCCGGAUCAAAGGUGUGAUUCCCGCCUCGGGGAGUGAGUCUGCACUCCUUAUUAGUC
rnacentral:rRNA from 1 species